GUUGGCUUAGAAGCAGCCACCCUUGAAAGAGUGCGUAAUAGCUCACUGGUCAAGUGAUUCCGCGCCGACAAUGUAACGGGGCUCAAGCACGCCACCGAAGUUGUGGCAUUGACAUUAUUGGUAGGCCUUCGUGGUCCAGCCGUGUUGAUGGGUAGGAGAGCGUCGUGUGGCCAGCGAAGCGGCGGUGUGAACCAGCCGUGGAGGCCACACGAGUGAGAAUGCAGGCAUGAGUAGCGAAAGACGUGUGAGAAACACGUCCUCCGAAAGACCAAGGGUUCCAGGGUCAAGCUAAUCUUCCCUGGGUAAGUCGGGACCUAAGGCGAGGCCGACAGGCGUAGUCGAUGGACAACGGGUUGAUAUUCCCGUACCGGCGAAGAACCGCCCAAACUAAUCCAGUGGUGCUAAGUGCCCGAAUUCCUUUGUAUCGAUCCCUUCGGGGUGAGAGCGUUGGAGCUAGCGCAUGACCCCAUGCUGGUGCGGUUAGCGUAUUAACAGGUGUGACGCAGGAAGGUAGCCCAACCCGGGCGAUGGUUGUCCCGGGGCAAGUGCGUAGGCCGAGUCAUAGGCAAAUCCGUGACUCUUACAGGCUGAGACACGAUGCGGAUAAAAAGUGGGUGAUCCUCUGCUGCCAAGAAAAGCAUCGACGCGAGGUUCUAGCCGCCCGUACCCCAAACCGACUCAGGUGGUCAGGUAGAGAAUACCAAGGAGAUCGAGAGAAUCGUGGUUAAGGAACUCGGCAAAAUGCCCCCGUAACUUCGGGAGAAGGGGGGCCAUCCACUUAUAUGAGCUUGCCUCAAAAAGGGUGUGGUGGCCGCAGAGACUAGUGGGUAGCGACUGUUUAUUAAAAACACAGGUCCGUGCCAAGUCGCAAGACGAUGUAUACGGACUGACGCCUGCCCGGUGCUGGAAGGUUAAGAGGACCGGUUAGCCGUAAGGCGAAGCUGAGAAUUUAAGCCCCAGUAAACGGCGGUGGUAACUAUAACCAUCCUAAGGUAGCGAAAUUCCUUGU
rnacentral:rRNA from 1 species